rnacentral:rRNA from 1 species
CCUACGGGAGGCAGCAGUGAGGAAUAUUGGUCAAUGGACGCAAGUCUGAACCAGCCAUGCCGCGUGCAGGAAGACGGCUCUAUGAGUUGUAAACUGCUUUUGUACGAGGGUAAAUCCCGAUACGUGUAUAGGGUUGAAAGUAUCGUACGAAUAAGGAUCGGCUAACUCCGUGCCAGCAGCCGCGGUAAUACGGAGGCUUCAAGCGUUAUCCGGAUUUCUUGGGUUUAAAGGGUGCGUAGGCGGUUCGAUAAGUUAGAGGUGAAAUCCCGGCUCAACUCCGGCACUGCCUCUGAUACUGUCGGGCGAGAGGUUAGUUGCGGUAGGCGGAAUGUAUGGUGUAGCGGUGAAAUGCAUAGAGAUCAUACAGAACACCGAUUGCGAAGGCAGCUUACCAAACUACGACUGACGUUGAGGCACGAAAGCGUGGGGAGCAAACAGGAUUAGAUACCCCUGUAGUC